GCUUGGACUGCUUUUGAAGAAAACAUUACGCUGAUUCGUGUCAAGGUGGCGUGUUCCUACGGGGCUUCGUCGCGGUAUCCAAAACUAAGGCUAUAACAGAAUGCGUAUGUGUUUUGUCAUUUUCGGUAAAAGAUCCUAGCCAUGAAGAGAUAAGAUUUAAAGCUUUACCAUAACGACAGCUUACUCGAACGAUCAAGGCAUUCCUUAAAAUGACACGAGGCAGAGCUAUCUUCGAGUAAUUUACUUGGUAUCAGUUGGAAAAUCUUGGCAUUUUCUUCGAGUCAUCCUCUUGGCGGCUUCGGCGAGUGGAUUGGAGACUCAUUCAUUUUUCAUCGUGCAACUUUCGUGUGGAACAACGUUCGAAGAUUUCCGCACGAGUUUAUCUUAAGAGAGCAAACCUCACGAAAAGAGAAGAACCCAGAAGUUACAAGAUUGUCGGAUCAGACGGAUUAUAAAUUCCUUUAUAAAGUGCACUCACAUCGAAGGGGCAACAUAGUCAAGCGUUGCAAGAAACGUGUGUUGACGAACACACGUUUCACAACUUCAUCAAAUAAGACUGAAAUAGAGUAGUGAAAUAGAUGGUAAGCUGGUAGGAUAGUGGUUGUAGGCAAAAAAAAUAUAAAACUACAUCUACGAAGAAAUUUUAAGAAUAUUUUGGGGAAACCCAUGAAGCAAAUAUUCUUGGGAUACUCGUCUCUGCCACUCGUAUUUUCUUUCACGUUUAUCGAUGAAAGAAGUACAAGUGGUAGGGAGGGGGUGUCACCAAUUCGCAGUUGUCAUUUGUUGGACUCCUAUCUAAACAUUAAAAUACCUUAAAGGAGCAAUGUCUCACAUGGUAUGAUUCUCUCUGAAAAAUUGCCGUUAUUACUAAUUUUUUUUCUUCAAGAUCCAUUUGAAAGCUAAAAAUAACCUAACGCCACAAUUGCGCAAUAAGAAAAUUUGGAAAUUUUACUUGUAAAUCUCCGUUCGAUCAGACAUUGGAUCUAUGACGGUCUUUUGUAUUUUGUUCCCAUAAUUGCAUAAGUAAGGCCAAAUAUUUCCACUUUUGUCCGUUUUACUGCAAAGAGAAGCAUAAAAUCUAAGACUGUCAAGUGCCUAAUUCCAGCCUUGGAUUAACUGUACCAGGAAAUAUUAAAAAG